CCUUCUCCAGUGGACCACAUUUCUGUCAGACCUCUCCACCAUAGGGAUUAGAAGCUCUAAACUGACUGAAUUAGAAUUGAGGACUAAUUUUAGUCCUUCCUUAGGACUAAGGAGUACCUAAAUCUUUCAUGCUUUUCUUUUCUAGUUUACUAAUGAGAAAAGCUUUGUUUGACCACCUCACUGCCCGAGGCAUUCAGGUGUACAUUUGGGUAUUAAAUGAAGAGCAGGAAUACAAAAGAGCCUUUGAUUUGGGAGCAACUGGGGUGAUGACAGACUAUCCAACAAAGCUUAAGGAUUUUUUACAUAAUUUUUCAGAAUAGAGAAGGAGGUAGUCAGAAGCAUUCAAAGAAAACAUGAAAAGACCUAAGAAAAAAUUUUUUCAUUAUUUCCCUAAGCCAUUACCAGAAUGGUAAAAGGUUUAAUCAGUACACCUUAGUUAAAGGGGAAAAAUAUUGUGGAAAGAGAGCUUGGAAAUCAGUGAUGUAAUUAUCUGACAAGUUGUACAUUGUUAACAGAGGCAGACUCAAAGAAAUAACUGAAAGUUUGUUACAUGAUCAGAAAUAAAAUCUGUAGACUGAAUUCGAAUUUCUUGGUUGCUGUCAUCAAUAGGGACGUUCUGUUUGGAGUCUUUUUCAGGUGUGUGACAAUUGCUGCUGUAUUUCUUUUUUUUUUGGUAAAAAUUAAAAUUGGACUUAAUCAUUGUAAAUUAAGACAAGAUGCUAACAGUCACAUUUUUGUUUCCUCUAAUGAAAUGUACAUUUCCCAUUGUUAGCAAUGACCAACUGUCUGGGCCUACAUCUAGAUUUUAAAUAACAUCUUGAGUCCUAAUAAUCAUAACAAACUGAUGAAAGUGCAUAUCAUUGUGUCUAAUACUUAUAAACCAUCUGCUCCUGAUCUUUAAGAACUUAUUCUUCCGAGUAUUAAGUGGGAACAGAAUUUCCCAAAGCAUUAGGCAUCACUUUCUCAGAUUUUCUAAUGUGACUUCAUGUAAAUCUGUUUAUCAUCUUUUUGACUUAUUUUCAUUAUCUCUUUGGAAGGUAAAUAUAUCCUGGAACAAUAAGCAUCUUGGACCUAGAUUACACCUCUUAUUUGGACUUUGCCAGCUAACAGUUAUGAAGGCUAAUCAUACUCUCCCACCUAUCCCUGGAUGACAUAAGUAACAUUUGUUUUUUUUGUUUAAACUGAAAUAAAAAUUUCAAGAACAAAAGAA